rnacentral:lncRNA from 1 species
GUGCCUUUCAUCUACAUUAUAAAUGCUUCUAAAAUGGUCAUUAAUAAUAGAUUAACUUCUCUGCCUCAUUGAAGUUGUCCACUCAUCACUUAUGUACAGCUAUGAAACCUCAGCAACACAUCUGACUCUGGGCCUGCAAAUACAUAGUUUUAUGUAUAAAAAAGUUAUUUGUUUAUUACUGGUAAUAAAAUUAUUAAUGUCCUUAUUUACGUUUUUGUUGUUCUAAAACAGUCAACGCAUUUAUUUGGAUGCCUUGAUCGGUGCCAAGGAGUCUGCAGAUGUUAUUCAAAAAUGGGCGACAGGAAAAAUGACAAAUUACAGCUUCAAGACUUCGAGUCUGUGGAUUUAAAGACACUUGUGAGAGCUCACAGUGUUGAUACAGGUGUUCUUCAGAGUUUUACUAAGAGAUAUACUGCAGAUUUUUAUUAACGUGUAUUAAAAAACAGCAUAAAUAACAAUUUGCCUUUUUUAUUUUGUACAGGGCUUUUAACAGAAGCCAGUAGUUUUUCAGAACAGGUUUCCACUGAGGACACAGAAUUAUCCUCAACUGACAUCUCUAUAAAUGCAAACAAAACAACAGGUACCUCCAUACCUGCAGGUACGAGUAUUUCAAUCUUUUGUAUUCUAAAUCUAAAAGUAGCACAAAACAGUCACACUCAAGUGACCGGAUGGCAGUAUUGACAUGUUAAUUUCUUUAUUUGCAUCAGAAUUUUUUGGUGAAUCCAACCCAAAGCACGCAGUGACCAGGACGGUGUCCAUUCUUAGUCCGAGUUGUGCAGGUACAGACCAGCCAAAGUCGCUGUGUGCCCUGCUGACUUCCUCCACAGAAACCUGCACAGUCUAUGACGUGAGCCAGUCAUUUACAUCAGUCAGCAGGAGCCAAGACAGCCUUAAAGUCACACCUGCCCACACCGAGGCAGACAGAGAAGACCUUUGUGCUGCCGUCCUGAUGGCCUGCCUCUUCUGCCAGCCGCUGGACUGCCUAGUGGCCACAAUGAGAGGGUGUAACGAGUGCGUGUGGUCACUGUGCUCCUUUGUUUGCGGCUGCGAGUCCGCCACCAUUCAGCCCCUCAUGGAAAUGACCCACCACUGCGACCUCUGCAGCUGCCUGGGUGCUCCCUGCUUCAUGUGCGACUGUCCCAUUUGUGACAUCUGCCUCCAGGCUACAGAGUGCCUGGACCUCGCCAUGGAGGUCUCUCAAAUGCUUUAUCACUAA